GCCCUCCAGAUCCCUUUCCCAUCGGAUCAAAACACUGGUCUGGGUGGUCGUGGAAGGGGGAAAGAAACAUUGAAGCUGCCCCUCGGUGCGCGUGGAGCUCGGGCAGCUUCAAACGGGG